rnacentral:rRNA from 1 species
UAGAAGUUUGAUCCUGGCUCAGAACGAACGCUGGCGGCAGGCCUAACACAUGCAAGUCGAGCGCUCACUUCGGUGGGAGCGGCGGACGGGUUAGUAACGCGUGGGAACGUGCCCUUCUCUACGGAAUAGCCAUUGGAAACGAUGAGUAAUACCGUAUACGCCCUUUGGGGGAAAGAUUUAUCGGAGAAGGAUCGGCCCGCGUUAGAUUAGAUAGUUGGUGGGGUAACGGCCUACCAAGUCUACGAUCUAUAGCUGGUUUUAGAGGAUGAUCAGCAACACUGGGACUGAGACACGGCCCAGACUCCUACGGGAGGCAGCAGUGGGGAAUCUUAGACAAUGGGCGCAAGCCUGAUCUAGCCAUGCCGCGUGUGUGAUGAAGGCCCUAGGGUCGUAAAGCACUUUCGCCAGGGAUGAUAAUGACAGUACCUGGUAAAGAAACCCCGGCUAACUCCGUGCCAGCACCCGCGGUAAUACGAGGGGUCAGCGAUGUUCGGAAUUACUGGCCGUAAAGCGCGCGUAGCCGGAUUGGAAAGUUGGGGGGUGAAAUCCCGGGGCUCAACCCCGGAACUGCCCCCAAAACUAUCAGUCUAGAGUCGAGAGAAGUGAGUGAAAUUCCGAGUGUAGAGGUGAAAUUCGUAGAUAUUCGGAGGAACACCAGUGGCGAAGGCGGCUCACUGGCUCGAUACUGACGCUGAGGUGCGAAAGUGUGGGGAGCAAACAGGAUUAGAUACCUGGUAGUCACACGUAAACGAUGAAUGCCAGUCGUCGGGCAGUAUACUGUUCGGUGACACACCUAGCGGAUUAAGCAUUCCGCCUGGGGAGUACGGUCGCAAGAUUAAAACUCAAGGAAUUGACGGGGGCCCGCACAAGCGGUGGAGCAUGUGGAUUAAUUCGAAGCACGCGCAGAACCUUACCAACCCAUGACAUCUGUGCUAACCCGAGAGAACGCCCGGCCACUUCGGUGGCGCAGUGACAGGUGCUGCAUGGCUGUCGUCAGCUCGUGUCGUGAGAUGUUCGGUUAAGUCCGGCAACGAGCGCAACCCACAUCUUUAGUUGCCAGCAGUUCGGCUGGGCACUCUAAAGAAACUGCCCGUGAUAAGCGGGAGGAAGGUGUGGAUGACGUCAAGUCCUCAUGGCCCUUACGGGUUGGGCUACACACGUGCUACAAUGGCAGUGACAAUGGGUUAAUCCCAAAAAAGCUGUCUCAGUUCGGAUUGGGGUCUGCAACUCGACCCCAUGAAGUCGGAAUCGCUAGUAAUCGCGUAACAGCAUGACGCGGUGAAUACGUUCCCGGGCCUUGUACACACCGCCCGUCACACCAUGGGAGUUGGUUCUACCCGACGACGCUGCGCUAACCUUCGGGAGGCAAGGCGGCCCACGGUAGGAUUCAGCGGACUGGGGUGAAAGUCGUAACCGAGGUAACCCGAGGGCGAAAUUCGUUUAAACCUGCCAGGACUUAUUCCCCUUGUGUGAGGUUCAUGUGAGUUG